GAAUGCUGACAUAAGUAACGAUAAAGCGGGUGAAAAGCCCGCUCGCCGGAAGACCAAGGGUUCCUGUCCAACGUUAAUCGGGGCAGGGUGAGUCGACCCCUAAGGCGAGGCCGAAAGGCGUAGUCGAUGGGAAACAGGUUAAUAUUCCUGUACUUGGUGUUACUGCGAAGGGGGGACGGAGAAGGCUAUGUUGGCCGGGCGACGGUUGUCCCGGUUUAAGCGUGUAGGCUGGUUUUCCAGGCAAAUCCGGAAAAUCAAGGCUGAGGCGUGAUGACGAGGCACUACGGUGCUGAAGCGACAAAUGCCCUGCUUCCAGGAAAAGCCUCUAAGCAUCAGGUAACAUCAAAUCGUACCCCAAACCGACACAGGUGGUCAGGUAGAGAAUACCAAGGCGCUUGAGAGAACUCGGGUGAAGGAACUAGGCAAAAUGGUGCCGUAACUUCGGGAGAAGGCAC
rnacentral:rRNA from 1 species